CAGGUGAUGGAUCUUGCUUUGUUAUGGUAGUUGAUGUGUGGUGGAGGCGGAAGCAAUUAGUGGUGUUGUUGUAUCGUGUGGUUGUGCGAUUACCAACGUCGAUGGUGUUUGAUGGGAGAGUGGAAGAGAGUUAUUGUUUGGUUUGUUUGUGUUUGCAGAAUGUUAAGUGAUGAAGCUUGUUUGGAGUUUGGAAGAUGAGGUGAGUUUGUUAAUGGCUUUGUUUUUUUUCUUUUGAU
rnacentral:lncRNA from 1 species